UCAGUGAUAAUGAAGAUGCCAUUUUAAUCUACAAUAAAUAAAGAACAUAACAUAAGCGACCGACCUACGAUGACAAGCAUAAUUAAAUAAGAUCUUGUAUCUAAUUAUGUCUUCCACUAUUUUAUCGAACACCAUAGCCCUCACUAUGAUGAACAGGAUACUAUAGAGUUAUCCAAGUGGGGUUGAGAUCCUAAUUCCUCGUAAGAGCCUUGUGGUUACACAACAAAUCCUAACGAGUUCAUAGGUAGGAAACUCUUUUCAAUUGCAACUCAUGUAAUUCUCAAGUCUAUCCUGAUCUCUAGAACAUUAAUAGUCUUGUGGUUGCACAACAAACUAUAAUGUUCUAGUUAAAUAUG
rnacentral:lncRNA from 1 species